ensembl:snoRNA small nucleolar RNA SNORA22
CUGCACAGGGAACACCCAUGUGUGCUUUGUAGCUCCCUUGGUCAUUGACCUGUGCCACAGAAAUGUGUGGUCUGUACCUCUGCAUUAGGAGAGCUGCUGUUUCUUCUACAUGUAUUCAUCGGACCGCCACAAUU